GCCGGCCCCGCCGGGGCGGCCGCGGCGUCACCGGGAACGGCCGGGAAAAGCCGGAGAAACAAAGAACAUGGCGAGGGGAGGAGGAGCUUCCGCCACCUCAGCCGCUGGGAAGGGCGCUCCGGGGGCGUACAAUGCCCGCCGCGGGGCGGGUUCGCUUCCCUCCGCCCCCUUUCCCCGCCCUUGUGGCCGGGCUGGAGGGGGGCUGGGGCGGAACGGGACGGGCUGAACUGAACUGGACUGGACUGGAGGUGUCCGUCGGGAGUGGGUCCGCUGUCUGCCGCAAGUUUCGCCCAGAGUGGGAAGGAAAGUUGGGCGGGAUCCGGCCAGGCACAACUUCAGGACAUGCAAGAAUACUUUGGAGUGAACUGGCAGUAAGCCUUGCAGUACCAUGGUGGCAAUAAUACUGGCUGUCCUCUGGAGAUGCUGAAGCUCAGCCUUAUUUUGAACUUCUUUCUUAGACCCUCCAACUUGUUCACAAAGGACUUAACACUGAUUUGGAUUCAUAUGGUUGUGGGCAUAUGGUCGGGGAUGUGAUACAGGUCUGCCCUGAGGCAGCCAAUCCCUGGGUGGCCACAGCAGGUACACCUUGAACAUCAGUAGCAGUGCAAGAGGUUGUGCUGGAGCACCUGAAAUGUG